rnacentral:rRNA from 1 species
CCUACGGGUGGCAGCAGUGGGGGAUAUUGCACAAUGGGGGGAACCCUGAUGCAGCGACGCCGCGUGGGUGAAGAAGCGCCUCGGCGCGUAAAGCCCUGUCAGCAGGGAAGAAAAUGACGGUAACUGAAGAAGAAGCGCCGGCUAACUACGUGCCAGCAGCCGCGGUAAUACGUAGGGGGCAAGCGUUAUCCGGAUUUACUGGGUGUAAAGGGGGCGCAGACGGCGAGGCAAGCAAGGAGUGAAAGCCCGGGGCUCAACCCCGGGACUGCUCUUGUAAGUGCGUGGCUGGAGUGCAGGAGGGGCAGGCUGAAUUCCUGGUGUAGCGGUGAAAUGCGUAGAUAUCAGGAGGAACACCGGUGGCGAAGGCGGCCUGCUGGACUGCAACUGACGUUGAGGCCCGAAAGCGUGGGGAGCAAACAGGAUUAGAUACCCCAGUAGUC